AAUGAACGUUGGCGGCGUGGAUUAGGCAUGCAAGUCGUGCGACGAACUGUAGCAAUACAGGGAAAGCGGCGUAAGGGAGAGUAAUACGUAGGUAUCUACCCAUGGGUCUGGGAUAGCGGCGGGAAACUGCCGGUAAUACCAGAUAACGUCUCCGGACCAAAGGUGUGAUUUCCACCUGUGGAGGAGCCUACGGCCUAUUAGCUAGUUGGCAGGGUAACGGCCUACCAAGGCUUGGAUGGGUACGGGGNGUGAGAGCAUGCCCCCGCUCACUGGGACUGAGACACUGCCCAGACACCUACGGGUGGCUGCAGUCGAGAAUCUUCGGCAAUGG
rnacentral:rRNA from 1 species